AUUGGCCAAAAAGAUUAAUAACAAGGGUGGCAUCACUUCAAGGUUGAAAAGGCAUUUGCUGGGCAGGUAUCCUUGCAGAAGUGGCCUUUGUGUGAGGGUACAGAUCUUCGUGAAAGGCUAUAGUGGUCUUUGUGUAAGGUUCUGGUUUGCACAGAAUUUUUUGUUAUCAAGCAAAUAUAUGUUCAUGGAAUUCCCACCUUCAGAAUCUCUUGGCUCCAUUUUGCUUUAGGUUUGGUACAAGUGACUCUGUUUUGAUUCUGAUGACUUGCACAAUUUUAUCAUGACUUUAAAUAUCUUUCUUUACUCCAAAUUAUUCUGGGUUUAUUUCUUAGCUUAAUUCAUUCAGAGUAAACUUACUUUCUUUAUUUCUGGGGUUUUGAUGGCCAUCCAUUUAUGAUCUUUACAGGCUGUCUGCAAGAUUAUGAUCCAAAGAUAGACCAAUUCUGUAACACAGUUGUUUCUGUAAUGCCCACAGUUAAGAGGUACAACUCAAGUAGCACCAAAUCCCCAAAAGACCAGUGACCACAGACCAGUGUAUCAGACCGCACACUGAUGGUCCAGGACUGAUGGUCACUGUUGAUGUGUUCAUUGCUGAAGAAAAUCCAGAAGAUGUUCUUUACCAGGAAGAAACACUCAAUCUAAAAGAACACAAUAGGAAAAACAAAACACAACCUUGGCGUCGACUAGGAACCACGAGGGGUCAUGUGAUCUGUUGCUGCUCUGCAGUCACCAGUGGUGGCAUCUUAGACCAUUCACUCCAGCAUUAUGGGCCUCCACUUCCUUUUCUUCCAGAGGGAGAGCUUUGAGGUACCCUCGAGCUUAUGAAUUCUAACAGUGAAUCCAGAUGAAGGCAAGAUUGAGCCACCCCGGAGCUUAACAAACAGGUAGGAUGGAAGUAAGUAAGGGAGGAGAAGGCUGGAAGGAUGAGGUUGUGUUAGAGCUUCCAAUGCUAGAAUUUAAGAGAUUCAACAUUGGAGUAGCUAUUGGAGGUCAAGGUCAAGACCGUGAGAGGCUAUUGUGAGUGGAAACAAAGGCCGCUGAAAUGCGGCUUUGGAUUUGUGUGGAUGGAUUACUAACACAAAUACUGAAAAUCCCCCAGAAGAUGAGGGAAAUUGUGGUGGAGGGGAGGACUGUGAGCCAGAGGCCGACAUAUUUAGUGAGCAUGGAAUUCAGGACUCAUGGACAGCUGCAUCAGUGCCAGACACUUUGGUUCAAAUCAUAGCUCUGCACUGAGCACUGCUGAUCCUUGUCACCUUGCUUACCACUUCAAAUCACAGUUGACUCAACCGUAAACCUGUGUGAACAACAAAGACUGUCCCAAAUAUCUGUUCUUUGUAGCAGAUGCUAACAAUUGCCCACCAAUAGCCAUUUGCAUCUUCUUUUUACUUUUUUUAACAGAACAAACUCUUCUGUGAAGCUAGACGCUCAAGACAGAUUGGACCCAGCCUUAGAUCCACUGUAUUCAUUUUUGCCAAUCAUGAUGAUCCUUCCUUCCCAAUCACUGACUUAGGAAAGACCCAGUACCAGAGAUGUAGGAUAAGCCUGGUAAAUGACUUCUGGGAAAUGUUUCUUAUCUUUUUACUUUGACUUGUGAAGAUGUAAUAUUGAGAGCUUCUGCAGCCAUCUUGUUACCAUGAGGAAAACAGAGGAUGAGCUGGGGGUGACAGCUCAGAAGAUGAGAGGAACUCCCAAUUAUUAAGCAAAAGCAGCAUUAGAAUGACUAAUGGCACGAGCUCUGAAAAAUCAUCUGGGAAAUUGAGAGUUUAGACUCAAAUGUAAUCUAAAAAUUAUUCGUUCUCUUUUGGC
rnacentral:lncRNA from 1 species